AAAGCGAAUAGUGAAACCUGGUGGCUCAACCACACAGACUAUUAUUCGAACUCAUUAACUCGAGAAUGGUAGAGGUAACUGGAAUUUCUAGUGUAGGAGUGAAAUCCGUAGAUAUUAGAAGGAACACCAAUGGCGUAGGCAGGUUACUGGACCAUUUCUGACACUGAGGCACGAAAGCGUGGGGAGCGAACCGGAUUAGAUACCCGGGUAGUCCACGCCGUAAACGAUGGAUACUA
rnacentral:rRNA from 1 species